AUUGAACGCUGGCGGCAGGCUUAACACAUGCAAGUCGAGCGGAGAGAGGUAGCUUGCUACUGAUCUUAGCGGCGGACGGGUGAGUAAUGCUUAGGAAUCUGCCUAUUAGUGGGGGACAACAUUUAGAAAGGAAUGCUAAUACCGCAUACGUCCUACGGGAGAAAGCAGGGGAUCUUCGGACCUUGCGCUAAUAGAUCAGCCUAGGUCGGAUUAGCUAGUUGGUGGGGUAAAGGCCUACCAAGGCGACGAUCUGUAGCGGGUCUGAGAGGAUGGUCCGCCACACUGGGCCUGAGACACGGCCCAGACUCCUACGGGAGGCAGCAGUGGGGAAUAUUGGACAAUGGGCGGAAGCCUGAUCCAGCCAUGCCGCGUGUGUGAAGAAGGCCUUAUGGUUGUAAAGCACUUUAAGCGAGGAGGAGGCUACUUUAGUUAAUACCUAGAGAUAGUGGACGUUACUCGCAGAAUAAGCACCGGCUAACUCUGUGCCAGCAGCCGCCGUAA
rnacentral:rRNA from 1 species